rnacentral:rRNA from 1 species
UACGUAGGGGGCAAGCGUUGUCCGGAAUCAUUGGGCGUAAAGCGCGUGUAGGCGGCCCGAUAAGUCCGCUGUGAAAGUCCAGGGCUCAACCCUGGAAUGCCGGUGGAUACUGUCGGGCUAGAGUCCGGAAGAGGCGAGUGGAAUUCCUGGUGUAGCGGUGAAAUGCGCAGAUAUCAGGAGGAACACCGAUGGCGAAGGCAGGUCUCUGGGCCACUACUGACGCUGAGAAGCGAAAGCAUGGGGAGCGAACAGG